UCCUUCCUACUCUGGCCUCGUUGAGAAUCGCCGCCUUUGAGGAAGGGGGCAAGUUCAUCGGCCAUCGCAUCAUCCCCGUGUCUGCCAUACGCCCCGGCUAUCGUUAUAUCGGCCUGAGGAACGAGAAGAACCAGUCUCUGAUUCUCCCCGCCGUGUUCGUCUUCAUGGAAGUCAAAGACUAUGUCCCGGACACUUUUGCAGACGUGAUCGAGGCUCUGUCCAACCCCAUUCGAUACGUCAACCUGCUGGAGCAGCGUUCCAAGCAGCUGGCCGCUCUCACGCUGGAGGACGGAGACGUCGACGCGCAGACCGAGGACGAAGCGGACGGCUGCUCUGAGCGUAAAAACGAUCCCCAA